rnacentral:rRNA from 1 species
GACGAACGCUGGCGGCGUGCUUAACACAUGCAAGUCGAGCGGAGCGGCGAACGGGUGAGUAACGCGUGGGUAACUGCCCCCCUCUCUAGGUUAACAGUUGGGAACGGCUGCUAAUACAGGCUAGUGGGGGGUGACUCGCGUCCUAUCAGCUGGUUGGUGGGGGAGUGGCCUACCAAGGGGACGACGGGUAGCCGGCCUGAGAGGGAGACCGGCCACAUUGGGCUGAGAUACGGCCCAAACUCCUACGGGAGGCAGCAGUGGGGAAUAUUGGACAAUGGGGGAAAGCCUGAUGCAGCAACGCCGCGUGCGGGAUGACGGCCUUCGGGUUGUAAAGUACUGUCAGCGAGGAGGUUUAAUAACCGCAGCGAUUGACGGUACUCGCAGAAGAAGCACCGGCUAACUCCGUGCCAGCAGCCGCGGUAAUAC